AGGACUGCUCAGGACUCACCUACCGAAGCCUGAGCCUGGCCCAGAUCCACCUCACCCACCAGUGCAGGAGCCAGGACCCGAGGAAGCCCCGGAUAUAUCCAGCUAACAGGAGACACUGCUGGAGCUCAAGACUGCCUCCACCCAGGGGCAGAAACCGACCAAGCUCAGGCCUGCCCAGAACUGCCUCCUCCCAUAAGCAGAUCCCCACCUGAGCUCAGAUGAGCCCAGAUCAGCUUCACCAAUUUGCACAAGAAGCCAGGCCCCAGUAAGCCCGGGUCCAUCCUACCACUGUCAGACACCUGCCAGAACUGAGGCGGGACCAGACCUGCCUGGACGACAUCCAUAGGAGCUUUGACACAGGGUAGGCACAGGUCCAUCCUGCCACUGGCAGACCCUACCAGAGCUCAGGAGAACCUGCACUCACAAGCAGAUACCUGCCAGACUUCAGGCUCUGCCCAGGGUCACCUCAUUGACCAAGGAGGGUGGCAGGGACCAGGAUAGGACAGGAUACAUUUUGCCACAGGGAGAGCCCCACUGGAGCUCAGGACCACCACUGCCCACCAGCAGACACACACCAGAACUCAGGCCUGGCCAGAUCCACCUUGCCAACCAAGGAGGGAGGCAGGGACCAGGGAAGGCUGGAGUCCAUUUAUCCAUUAAUAAAUUCUUGCUGGAGCUCAGGACAGACCACCUCUGCACAGAGGCGGACACACCUGGAGUUCAGACCCGGCACAGAUCCACCUUUCUGACCAAGGAGGGAGGCAGAAACCAGACUAGGCCUUGGUCUAUCCCCAAACUUGCAAACCCCCUUUGGAGCUCAGCACUGCCCCCACCCACCAGCAGACUCCCUCCUGAGCUCUUGCCUGAUCCACACCCACCUUGCUGACCUGCACAGCAACUCGGGCCCAAGGUAGGCCCAAGUCUAUCUAUCCCUAUACUGGCUAAAACCUGCUGAAGCUGAGGCCUCGCCCAGAUGCAUCUAACUUACCUGCAUGGAAGCCAGGGCCCAGGGUAAGCUGGGGUCUAUCCUGCCACAGGCAGACACUGGCUAGAGCUGAGCUCCAGCCCAGACCUGCCUCACUGACAUAUAUAGGAGUUUCGGACCCAGGGUAUUCCAGGGUCCAUCCCGCCACUGUCAGAUCUUCCAGAGUUCAGGACUGCCUCUGCAGACACCUGCGAGCUCAGGUCCAGCCCAGAACCUCCUAUGGCCAGCUGCAGACCCACACCAUAGAUCAGGCCUGGCCCAGAUUUACCUCACUGGCCUUCAUGGGUGCCAAGGCCAAGUGUAGACCAGGGCCAUCUGGCCACAGGCAGAGCCCUGCUAGAGUUAAUGAGCACCACCGCCUACUGGCAGUAACAUGCCAGAACUGAAGCCCAGCCUAAAUAUGCUUCGCUGAACUGGGCCGGAUUCAGGACAUAUGGUAGACCUGGGUCCAUCACGCUACUGUGGAACUCCUGCAGAAACUCAGCCCUGGCCCAAGUCCACCUCACUACUAGCGCAUGAGCCAGGGCCCAGAGUAAGCCUGGUCCAUCCAGCCACUUUCAGAGUCCCGUCAGAGCUCAGGGCCGCAACCGCGCACCAGCAGAUAUCUGCCUGAGCUGAGGCCCAACGCAGACCCACCUUGCUGGAUCCAGGUCCCAAGAUGUUACAGAGGGACCGUUUUAUGACUUUUCUUCGUCAGCUCACAACAGAAGCAAGAAUGGCCUUAAGGAAGGUUGAAUUUAUUAUUUAAAGUGCUCAGCUUACCAGAGUUAACCCACAGAACCCUAUAUAUUAAUAUGUCCCACUUCUCAUGCUCCUACAGGAGUGAUAUAGCAAUCAUUGGAAAUUAUUGAAUGGCUCCACUUAGCUCAUUUUUCUUAAAAGUUAUUGACUCCUUUUCAUGAUUUUGUUGUUCAGUUGCUCAGUAUUAAAGGCAGAACAGGAAUUUUACAGCCAGUUAGAUCAGAACCUAAUAUUGUUAUUAUCCCUUAUUCUACUCAACAGAAUGAUUGGCAUUUCCAAACUUCUAAUCCUUGGCAAGUAGCUUUUGCUAAUUUUCCUGGUCAGAUAGAAAGUCAUUAGCCUUGUGAUAAAAUUAUUCAAUUUGCACUAAUAACUACACUUAGUUUUCCAAAUAUUGUGUGUGCUCAACCAGUAGUUGGGGCACUAUCAGUGUUUGCUGAUGGGUCAAGUUCAGGUAAAGCAGGAUUUUAUAGCAAUGCUCAGACAGAGGUAAUAAUACAAACACUGUAUACUUCUGCACAAAGAGCAGAACUUCAGGCUCUCAAUUGUGCUUUAAGUCAUUUUACAAAUGAUUCAAUUAAUAUUCAUUUUGAUAUUUUUAUAUGCAGUUGGAGUUACAAAAAAUGUUGGAACAUCAACUAUUGGAUACACACCAUUACAAGAGUUAUGCAAUUUUUUCAUACUUUUCAGAAGACAGUUCAAAUAUGUCCACAUCCAUGUUGUAUAGGCCAUAUAUGAGCACACACUUCUCCCAGGGCCUUUAACAUCAGGUACUGAUAAGGUUGAUAAGCUGGUUGCUAUUUGUCAGCAAAUAUCUUUGUAUGACUAUGAACACACUUUGUAUACUUUAAAUCAUUAAAAUGCUUCUAGUUUGCAUUAAAAAAUUUAAUGUUAUUAGAGAGCAAGCUCAUCAAAUUGUACAUCAAUGCCCACAAUAUGUUAUACACAUUCCAUCUUUACUAUCUUGGGUAAAUCUCCAUGGGUUAUGACCAAAUCAGUUACAGCAAAUGGAUGUAACCCACAUCCCUCAAUUUGGCAGACAAUAUAAUGUACAUGUAAUUGUGGAUACUUAUUCCAGAUUUAUCUUUGUCACAGCCCAUAUAUAAGAAAAUACUCAACAUGCUAUUUCUCAUUGCCUAGCUGCUUUUGUAGUACUAGAAUGUCCUUUGCAUAUUAAAACUGUUAAUGCACCUACUUAUACUACCUCUUCUUUUUUAGCAGUUUUGCCAACAUUUUUGUAUUGACCAUAAAACAGGUCAAGGCAUUGUAGAGCAAGCUCAUUUAUCUGUUAAGCUACAAUUAUAAAAAAACAGAAAUAACCUUAAUCAUGCCUUGUUUGUUUUAAAUUUUCUAAACUGUGACUCAGAAGGUUGCACUGUAGCUGACUGGCACACGUCUUCCACAGCAACAGGUCCUUCAGGACAAGUUUGGUGGAAAGAUUUACAAACAGGUCAAUGGAAAGCAUCAGAUCCAGUGAUAAUGUGGGACAGAAAUCAUUCUUGUAUUAUCCCAGAAGGUGCAUUUCAUCCCAGAGCCAAAGUUCAAAUGACUGAGGAUUGAUCUAGGAAUAUCAGGCCUGACUCCCAGCAAGAAGAGGAAGCUCCAAAGGAUGAGGGGAGAGAAGAUGGCCCGGAGAGACCCAACGGUGUAGGUACCCUCAUGGAAGGUGUUGAAGAAUCUGAUGCUGCAGGUUAAGCAGAUGAUCCAGCAGCAAGAAAGAACUAAGUCUCCAGCUAUGAUGCUUGUAGCAAUGCUAACUCUGUUGAGCUACCAGGUAACUGGGACACAGGAAGAAACUUAUUGGACAUAUUUCCCAGAUCCACCUUUAGAACACCCAGUUGUAUGGACUGGAGAAUCCAUCCCAGCAUUUACUAAUAACUUAUAUGUGAUGGGAGGUUUUAUAGAUAUCCAUAUUACUCCCAUCAAUGUGAUUGAAUUUAUUCUGACUAUCGUGAUCAUUUGUCUAUGUGUUGGCCCUGUGAUAAAAAUGCUGGCUAUCCAGAAGUUUCCUUUGAGGAAAAGACAGCUGUUGGUGGGCCUAGACCAGCUAAUUGUACCUCAGGGACUUAAAGCUAUAUAUUACAACAGUAAUUAAAAUGGGACUCUCAUAACAAGCCAGUCAUUUCAACAGAACAUCUACUAAUACCACACUGUCCUAACCAUUAUGCAGUAGAAAUUGUCAUAUUCCCUAAUAGAUGGAUUGUAUAAAUACGUUGCCAAUACAGCAUAAAUUGUCUAUUUUAAACUGGUCUUCUAGGAUUGACAAAAAGCAAUUAUACAAGGGUGUUGCCAUGACCCCUGAAGAAUUUGUAACAUCUUGACCUUCAUUGAAGGGUGGUAUCCAGAAAGAUGUUUGGCACUUGAGUGCAGCCUCGGAAUUUUUAUGUUACUGACAAGACUUUACCUGACUUUGUAGGCAGACAUUGUAAUGAAGGUUCUUGUUAUGGCCUGCAAGCUUGUGUUCAAUCUGCUUAUGUUUAAAUUACUGGGUUGUCAUGCCUUCAGAACAAGAAUUUGAGAACUCAAGAUAGAGAAACAUCACCUACUUUUUCAAAGAAAGAAGGGGGAAUAUAUUGGGAGCCACUCUGGAAUUACACACCAUUAAGUCCUGAACAAGAGAUACUGAAUAAUUAUUGUGCCCCACAAUAACUUGGGCUUUACCUUCACUCAGAUAAUGAGGCAUGGCUCCAGCAGUAGGAUUUAACUUGUGGGUUUGAGUUACACUCACCUGUUCCUUUGUAAUCCUAUCCCUUGCCCUUUUUUGGAUAGAAUGUUCUAAGAAACAGCAUACCCCAAUAAAAGCCACCUACAGAAUAUGCACCCCUC